ACUUUAUUUUCUACAUGUGCAACAGAGGAUAGUAGUUUGGCUGACCUCUCUGCACAGUGUAACGGCUCUGGCUGUCAUAGAAACAGUGUGAGCGAGUGCUCUGAUUGGUGCAGAGCACGGGAUCAUCCGUUGUUGCUCUCUGAGAGAAGUGCUGAGUGGACCCUCCUGUUGAAGCCCCCCUCCCCGUUCCUGCUCCGCCCCCCUGUGGAGCUGCUGCACUUCCUAUUGUCCCACAAAUUUGUUUUUUCCAUCCUGGCUGAACUUUCUAGCGUGACACUAAUAAGUCCAUUAGCAUCAUAUAUGCGGCUUAGCAGUGCGCAGGGGGCAUAGCCUAACAAAUGUGUGGAGUCAAUUGGUUUCCCAAGGGGACGCUACUGAGAAGCUGGCUCACCAAGUCCCGCCCCAGACUGCUGCUGCUCAUCGCCGGCUUGAAGAGGCCUCAGGUCACCCUCAUGCGCAGGAAAAGGAUGAAACGCACCAAAGUAGCAAAGGCCACGUAAGCGAACCUGCAGUCGUAUGCCGCAUUUCACUUGAGUCAACACAGAGAGAAGCUCCAUCUGCCGUCGACAUGAACGCAGAUCCAGAAACAGAGAAAGCAUCUCACCAGUCUCGGCCAAACAUACGAACUAAACACCUAUGCAGAAGACGCUCUGAGUUUGUUGUGAAAAUGAGGGAUCUUCCACAAAGAUCCAGACCCCCCGACUAAGAUCCGGAGCCUCACAGUGACAUUUGUUCAUCUUUCUCUCAAAUACACAUCUGUCAUGCUUCAGUUCACUACACAGCGUGUGACAGCACAUUAUUGCUCUUGCUCUUUAAGUGCCUUUGGUUGACAGUGCUUUCCUUUCCUGUGUUCUCUGGUCGAAUUUCAGGGACUUUUAGUUUUCGAUUCCUAAUGAUGUGUGUGGGUGAAAAAGAAGCAGCAAAACAAUGAACGAAAAAAAGAAAAAUGUAUAAUUGCCAUGAGCUAAUAACCAACAGCACACCAGUGGGGUUUUCAUACUGUUGAGCUCGUCAGACUGACAGCUGACAGUCUAUAACUGUGUCCAGAGGAGCAAAAUAAUUCAUGUAAAUGUCAAUAUCCAAUGAAAAAAACAUUACAUCUGAGUUAUAUCAAUCAAAAUGGAUUAUUCUGUGGCCCCCAUUACCAUUUAACAACCCCAAAAAAUCAUCACUGAAACAUGAUUGAGAAUUUGUUUUUAUUAAAAAAAAAAAAAAAAAAAAAAA